GAGGGUAUAGCUCAGUGGUAGAGCGCACCAUGAGGUCCUGAGUUCAAUCCCCUGUAUCUCCA
rnacentral:tRNA from 1 species